CUUGCUUAAACAAACAAACUGGUAAAUAAAAUGUUUUUCAGAAAAAUGUACCCAAAGGAUACAACCCAGUAUCCAAAAUUGCUUAAGAAGGAAGAACCAGGAUAAUGUAACCCAUUUCCAAGGGAAAAGUCCAUCAAGAGAUGCCAGCCACGAGGUUCAGGCUUUGGACCGGCUCAGGCCACCGGGCUGAUUCUUGGUGUCACCGUUCACCAGCCCUGUGACCUGCCUCCCCCUCGCAGAGCCUCUGGCUCUUCAGUCUGAAGCAGGAGAGCUGCGUGGGCCACCAUGUUUUGAAGAAGCUUCCGGGUCACCCUCGGUCCAGGCCUCCCGGCGAUCUGAGUCCUCGCAGUGUGAGUAGGGGGAAGUGUGUGUCCGUCCUGACCCGCAGGAGUCUGCCACUGAGGGCUGGGCCAUGAGCAGAGGGGCUUCUCCUCAUCCAGAGCUCCCUGGCAAACCUGGCCUCCUCCUGUGUCCGGCUCUCUCCUGCUCCACAAACCUUCUCUGCCUGCGCUUUCUGUCCCUCCCACUUCCCCCGUUCUCCCUCAGCCCUACCCCGGCCUUUUCCUAAAUAAAUAAAGACUCUCAACUUCCUGCCCUUCUAUCAUCAACCCACACUCUCCCUCUUUCAAUCUGCUUCCCUGUGAUGCAAAAGGAAAAACUCUCUUCCUCUUGUGUAAGGCCAGCUUUUUUACUGUGCUCCUUGUCCUCCCUUUCUUGGGACCUAGGCCAUGUCUUCUUGAAUUAUCUCUUUUUCAUCUCAUUUUUGACAUUUUAAUCUCCUUUGGGUCAUUUCUUAGAGCCUAUUAGAUAUCCUUUUCUUCCCCCUCUUUUUUUUUUUUUUUUUAGUAAAAGGAGAAAAAGAAAACCUUUAUCUUGCAUUCUACUUACAUAGCACUCUCUUUAUUUUGUAUUAAUUUUUUUAUUUCUUUAAAUCUAUUUUUGUUGACGUAGAGUUGACACACUAUGACGUUACUUUCAAAUACACAACAUAGUGAUUUGACGUCUCUAUACUGAUGCUAUGCUCACCACACGUGUCACUACCAUCUGUCACCACAGAAUGCUAUUACAAUAUCAGUGGCUAUAUUCCCUACGCUCUGCCUCAUAUUCCCAUGACUUACUCAUUCCAUGACUAGAAGCUGUGUCUCCCACCUCCCUUCACCCAUUUUGCCCAUUCCCCAUCCCCCUUUUCUCUCUUUUUAAAAAUCAAGUUAAAAAAGAAGAAUCUACCCUUGUUUUGACUUCCUCAUAUCUCACUCACUCACAUUUCUAUUUCUAGUACUUACCAUAUUAAUUGAGUUACAAAGGCACGUUCAAGAAUCACCUGUAGAAUAAUACACCGAUUUAGAACUACUCCGGACCUCACUCAAUCAUCAAUCAAGUCAAAGAGGAUGGAGGGCUGUUUCAUGUGAGCGGAUGUAUCAAGAGUGGUUACCAAGCCAACAGCAAACUGAUGUGGAGAAUUGCCUUCCUACAACAGAGAAUGAAAUAUGGAAGUCAACCAACAAAGACAAAUUAGCCCAGUGCAGUGGGACCCGGGGGCAGACUCUGGCCUCAGUUCUUUCCAGUCUUCUGUAGACUUCUUUUGGAAUGGUUUUGAGAACACAAGUCAGCUCUCCAGCUGGAUCUACUCAUCUCUCUUUCUGUGCUUUUACCCAUGGUGCCCUCAUCCAUUCACGUGAUGUGGGACACCUUCCGUAACCCGAGGACUCCCAAAUUGAUAUUUCUAUCCAAGAUUUCCCUUCAAAGUCCCAAGCUUGUCUAUUUUUCAAAUGGCAUCACAAUUGUGUCCCAAACCCGACUCCUGAUUCUCACCCUUAAACCUGUUUCUCUGCUGAGAGCGUGGCAUUAUCCACUCCAUUGCUUGAACCUAAAGCCUAGCAAUUUCUUCCUCUUAUUUAAUGAAACCCUCUAUGCCACAUUUGAUCCAGUUCACUUAAUCCAAAAUUCCAAUUCCAAAAAUACAUCUUGAAUCCUUUUGCCAAUAUCUGAACUACUGUGACUUCUCAUUCGGAUCACUGACUUUGCAUCCUAACAGACUUGUUUUCCACCUUGUGCUUCCCAGGAGCAGCCACGGUAGGUCUAAAGUCUCAGUCAGACCAUGCACUCCUUUCCUUGAACAUCUUAGUAACUUCUUAUAGCAUCUCCAAGAACAUCCAAGCCUGGGAGUGACCUGGUUUUGUCCAUCUCUUUCACUUUAGAUUCUGUAGAGUGAUUAGGACAGAGAAGAGCAAGAGCGUUCCCAGCCUCAGGGCAUUUGCACCUGCUGUGCUUCAUACCUGCCUAUUUCACACCUAUCCUUUCUUUAUCUGGAUUGCUCAUUUUCAUCUUCCAAGUCUCAUCUUAACUGUCACUUCCCAGGAGGUCUAGCGCA